GUGAGCGUGACAGCAGGUUACAGUCCCGUUAGCUCUGCGUCUGAACCGUGAAUUUAUGGUGUGCACAUACUCACAGCAUGUGGUUAUAUUUGCUGGAACACGAAGAGGCCGCACAUAUUCGCACAAUCGGCCGUCAGCGGCUGUCAGCAAGAUGGAGACGGUUUCAUCUGAUGUGGCGUGAAGGCAGAGACGAGGCUUCGCAGGUCUUUGCUAGAGAGGCGAUUCAAUCCGCUCCGAGUCCUUCCUCUUUCAUGUCGUUGUGCCGCCGACCGGCUUUGGUCUACGAUCCGUUUAAAACCAACAAACCGACCAAGUGGUGAAGCUCAGACGAGGGAAUGAAAGCGGUUCACACAGAGGAACAGUAAAGCCUGGAAGAACAUGAGCUUUCACUGAGAAACUGAUGAUAAUCACUUCACACCCUCCAGUGGGAUGAGUUCUCUCUCUGGGCUCCUGCUCCACUGGGAGUUACAGGAGCCUCUCCUACCCGUGUUUUAUUUUCCUUCCCCCCUAACCGUCUGGUUCAGGGUGGUCCACUGACAAUCCACUGAUUCAACUGACAGAAAGUCGAUCCAAUCUCAUCCUACUCGGCGUUCUCUCGGCUCAUAUCUUGACAUCUCGGCUGCCCGGGGAGGUGGAAGAACACAGACUGGCUCAUAGCACAAGGUUCAGGUCUCUGACUAGAUGGCACGAAUGACAACAAGGAAAUAAGGUUGAUGAUGUGUGAACCUGACACCACGCCCUUCAGCCAUCAUCGCCUGUCCUCUCCACCUCUGGAAAAAGAAGGCCUGAGUCAGCGGAGAGUCCCCGGACAGAUGGGAACAAUCUGCUCUCUGAACCACCAGCUGGAGAAAAAGAGGGCCGGCAGUGUGCCGAUGACCUGACCGCUUCAAUUAAUUACUGCUUUAACAGUAUCCGUACACACAGCCAGCCAAAUGAAGCGUCCUCUUCAUUUAUUAUUUAAAAAAUGUUUCCAUGUAUCAACAGUUACUGGUACAGUGCACUUUAAAUGGCAACUGAGCAUAAAACAGUUUCAAUUUAAGAUAUGGAACCAACAUGUUAUUCCGAACACUUGUUACGCGUUCGUAAACCUGAACGCCAGUGCUCUCUGGUUUCUUUCCAGAAGGACAAAAUUCUGAUUAAAAACAACAAACAUGAGCACAGUAUUUGCCUUUUUUUCCCCGUGUACUUCCAGCUUCCUCCCACAGUCCAAAGACAUGCAGUUAGUGGGGAUAGGUUAAUUGGAAACUCUAAAUUGCCCAUAGAUAUGAGUGCAAAUGGUUGUCAGUGUCUAUGUGUUAGCCCUGCGGUGGACUGGCAACUUGUCCAGGGUGUAGCCUGUCUCUCGCCAUAAGACAGCUGGGAUAGGCUCCAAAUGGAUGGAUGGAAAACAAACAUAAAUUAUCUUUUUUAUUUUUGAUGGGUUUUGUUUAGUUUCUGGGUUUUGUCCAAUUUUGCUCAUUUCUAUUAAUAUUUAUAAAAACAAGAAUACAGAUACUGUUUUAAAAUGAAGCUACUUAAUGACAAAAGUGGGGUCUGAACUCUAAAAAGACUUCAAAAAGGGAAAACCUGCCUCUUCAAAAGUAACAAUAAAAAAUCUAAUGACUUUAUAGUGAGAUUUAAAAAUUCUUGAUGUUUCCUCAGUAAAGCUAAGUAAAGCUGUGGGAGUUUAUAGUUUGACUUGUUUAUCAUGGCUUACGUCUUCGACAGCAACAUUUACAUUCUUGCCUUUAGCUGAAGGCGGUACACUGGUCUAUUACACAAAAAUCAAUCAGCAAACCUUUGCAAUAAAUGUUCUGGACGUGAGUGAAGCACUGCACAAAAAGGCCAACAAUAAAACCACCAUUAUUAAAGAGAAAGAAAACUGCGACAAAUGAUUUGCUAAACUUAAAGAAACAACCAAAGGGGGAAAGAAAAUAAUCAAAACACAAGGUGAAAGGUGAAAGGUCUUGAAAUAAUCUAAAAAGUUUCAGUUUACUGAAGCACAGGAAAGAGGCAUUCCAAAUAUUAAGUUUGUCCAUUCAAUGGAAAGAAAUUACUGAUUAAACAAUCAACUGUUCAAUUAACCAGCCUAUCAGCGUCAUUCUAAAACGAUCUGGUAGGUCUGCAGCCACUGAAUAAAACUGUGUAAAUCCAACAUCCUCUUACUCACCGCCUGAGUACCUCAGUUUAGCCCUCAAUGAUGUAUUUCAUUUCUAGGGAAAUACAGCAGAAUGAAUGCCAACAGAAAGCUGCAUUUAUUUUCUUCAUUUUUCAAGGCAAAAUCACAAACCCAGGGAGAGGCACGCUCUAACCAAACAAGGUUUCAAACCAAGGUUUCUCAUCACUCCAGCUCCCAAAGGUUUCCUGUAAAUUUCAAUGUGCUGCUCGUAUGACUAAUGCUUAGCUCUGAUUAAUGUAAUCAGUGUUUUUUAUCAAGAGUAGACAGAAAUGCAUAGCAACUCACUACUUGAUGGAUAACUCAUGACGCACACAGCUCUAUGAUCGUGUGCUACAGGGCAGCAGCGUGUUUGUCAAUGCAAUCCAGAGUUUAACGUUGUUUAUAUGUAUAUUUAGCUUGUCCGGUGUCACAGAUCUCCCACAGGAAUAAAUGACUACGAACAUUAUUAGAUGCUGUUAGACAGAAAAUCAACUGAAUGACAUGACAAAUCACAGACACAAUAAAUAAACUGACCUGCUGAUCGGAUGAAAAACAUGUUAUUUUUGCGAACAAGUUAUUUACAUCGUUCAGGUAUUACAUGAAGACAAUAAAUCUAGAGGAGAACUGUGCCAAGUUCUCCCAGACCAAUUCCAAAACAGAGACUAAAACACACCAAAAUAUGUCCAAACCACCAAACCACGUUUAAAGCCAGUCAAAAACUAAAUGUACUCCAAACUCAUCUGCCAUAAAGUUCAGCCCGUUCUUACUCCCAAGGCGUUCCUGAGGAACGCGAAAGGUGACCUUCAGCGUUCUUAUGCUACGUGCCGGGUUAUGGGUUAAAUCCAAUAGAAUUACGGUCCCGCGGUAAUACACGUUCCAGCCAUGUAUUCCAGCCCUAACCCUAACCUGAUCCCUAACCUUAACCAGCACUAUAAUGACGUUAAAUAGCGUUUUCCAAAGCGAUUUAAGUAAAAUGAACAAACAUGUGUAGAUUGAUUCAAAACGGUCUCAUGUUUCCUCAUUUUUCCGAUUUCAUCAUUUAGGGACGUGUUGGGUGCCCAGAAGCGUAAUAUGUUGACGAUUUGUCACCUAGUGUAAAAUAUUAUGCUUUGGGAGUAAGAAUGUGUUGCAAAGUUUUAGUCACUUUAAGCCUGCGUAGGGCUGAAUCUGAUCUGAAUCAUUAGUUUAAAGAUGAAGGUUAGCCAAAAAACUGCAGUAUCUCCAGCUGAGAACUGGAUGUACUUAAAAUUUAUACUUAUGUGGCCGGAUGGGUUGCGCAUGUCAGUGGAGCUGCUGUCUUGUCUUGUCUUCCGUUCUGUUGGCGGUCCAGUUUUGUUCCUGCUGCUUUGCCUCGCCUCGCCUCUGGGGGCUUUGGGUCUCACUUUAAGCCCCUUCUGGACUAUUGUUUGCACUCCAGCUUUCGCAGCUGGCUAGGGCGAUCCUCAGCUGCAUAACGGGCUGGUGCUACAAAACUGGUACUGCCUCCCCUGGUUGCUCCCAGUUUGUGGAGAGCUGCACAAGACUGAGUGGGGCUACGGACAAUCGUAACCAGCACCAGCUGUGGGCUGGCUCGCAGAGUGCAAGUAUUUCCAAUCUGUGCUCUGUGGUGUGUGUGUUUUAUUAAAGAUUUCAGUUUUUCUUUUAAUUCUUUUUUUUAAUUAUAUAGAGAGCCUGUUAUUUGGUGUCCCAUGUUUUAUCCUUUUAAUGUGUAUGUCUUGUGCUUUUAUUUCAGCGAACUAAGGAUCUACCAGCGGCCGUGGGACCUCAGGUGGCGGGUCAUUUUCCACACUUCCUUUGUUGUACAGCACUGGGUGAAUAGACUGUAGUGGGGUUUUUUGUGUGGUUUUCUUUUUGGUCCACCGCUGCUGGUAAGUCCCAGUUGUCUGUUUUAUUUUUAUUGUAAUUUGGGACACAGU